rnacentral:rRNA from 1 species
GAUGAACGCUGGCGGCGUGCUUAACACAUGCAAGUCGAACGGAAAGGCUCCUGCUUGCAGGGGUACUCGAGUGGCGAACGGGUGAGUAACCCGUGGGUGAUCUGCCCUGCACUUCGGGAUAAGCCUGGGCAACUGGGUCUAAUACCGGAUAGGACGAUGGUUUGGAUGCCAUUGUGGAAAUUUUUUGCGGUGUGGGAUGAGCUCGCGGCCUAUCAGCUUGUUGGUGGGGUAAUGGCCUACCAAGGCGUCGACGGGUAGCCGGCCUGAGAGGGUGUACGGCGACAUUGGGACUGAGAUACGGCCCAGACGCCUACGGGAGGCAGCAGUGGGGAAUAUUGCACAAUGGGGGCAAGCCUGAUGCAGCGACGCCGCGUGGGGGAUGACGGCCUUCGGGUUGUAAACUCCUUUCGCUAGGGACGAAGCGCAAGUGACGGUACCUGGAGAAGAAGCACCGGCUAACUACGUG